rnacentral:rRNA from 1 species
UACAGAGGUCCCGAGCGUUGUUCGGAUUCACUGGGCGUAAAGGGUGCGUAGGCGGUCGGGUAAGUCUGAUGUGAAAUCUCGCAGCUUAACUGUGAAACUGCAUUGGAUACUAUCCGGCUAGAGGAAUGGAGGGGAGACUGGAAUACUUGGUGUAGCAGUGAAAUGCGUAGAUAUCAAGUGGAACACCAGUGGCGAAGGCGGGUCUCUGGACAGUUCCUGACGCUGAGGCACGAAGGUCAGGGGAGCAAACGGG